AUUGAACGCUGGCGGCAUGCCUUACACAUGUAAGUCGAACGGUAACAGGUCUUCGGAUGCUGACGAGUGGCGAACGGGUGAGUAAUGCAUCGGAACGUGCCCAGUAGUGGGGGAUAGCCCGGCGAAAGCCGGAUUAAUACCGCAUACGACCUGAGGGUGAAAGGGGGGAUCGCAAGACCUCUCGCUAUUGGAGCGGCCGAUGUCAGAUUAGCUAGUUGGUGGGGUAAAGGCCUACCAAGGCAACGAUCCGUAGUUGGUCUGAGAGGACGACCAGCCACACUGGGACUGAGACACGGCCCAGACUCCUACGGGAGGCAGCAGUGGGGAAUUUUGGACAAUGGGCGCAAGCCUGAUCCAGCAAUGCCGCGUGCAGGAAGAAGGCCUUCGGGUUGUAAACUGCUUUUGUCAGGGAAGAAAUCUUCUGGGUUAAUACCUCGGGAGGAUGACGGUACCUGAAGAAUAAGCACCGGCUAACUACGUGCCAGCCGCCGCCGUAAGAC
rnacentral:rRNA from 1 species